UUAAGGGAUAGCCUGAUCAGCGAAAAGCCGUAUCUCCAACGGUUUCCCUUAAUUUUUAUCUUGGAGA
rnacentral:sRNA from 1 species